CAUGGGCUCAAGCUUUACUCCCAUCUCAGCCUCCCAAAGUGCUGAGAUUAUAGGCAUGAGCUGCCACACCCAGCAAAAGUAAGUAUAUUAUCAAAUGCAGAAUAAGGUAAAACUUUGAGUGUCAUGUAAAUAACAUAUCUCUAAUAGAAAAGAUAAAACGCAGGUAAAAGUAGUAACAGUAUAGUUUUGUACGUGAUUGAAUUUAUCAGCUUAAAUAACCUGUCAUAACUAUAAUAAGUUUUAUGUAGACUUUAAGGUAAGCAGAAAGCAAAAAUGUAUAGGAGAUCUAAAAAAAAUACAAAGAGGAAGGAAUCAAAGCAUACAACUACAGAAAAUAGAUAUGAGAUGUUGAAGUCCUUAAACAGGUUGGUGGAUUUGUCUAUUUGUCUAUUUGUCCUUUCAACUCUUAGUUUUUGUUUAGUGUAUUUUGAGGCUCUGUUGUGUGCUUGUAUGUAUGCACACAUUUUUAAUAAUUUAUUUCUAUUUUUUUACUGUUACAUAAUCUCUCUUUUUUUCUAUAGGGAUAUUCUUUGUUUUGAAUUUACUUUAUUCUGACAUUAAUAUGUCACUUUUUCAUUUUUAAUUAUUGUUUAUAUAAUCAGUUCUU
rnacentral:lncRNA from 10 species